rnacentral:sRNA from 1 species
CAUAAGUGAGGAUAGUAGUAGUAAAUGAGUUAUGUUCGACAUCAUUAUG